rnacentral:rRNA from 1 species
UACGGAAGGUCCAGGCGUUAUCCGGAUUUAUUGGGUUUAAAGGGAGCGUAGGCUGUUUGUUAAGCGUGUUGUGAAAUGUAGGAGCUCAACUUUUAGAUUGCAGCGCGAACUGGCAGACUUGAGUGCGCACAACGUAGGCGGAAUUCAUGGUGUAGCGGUGAAAUGCUUAGAUAUCAUGACGAACUCCGAUUGCGAAGGCAGCUUACGGGAGCGCAACUGACGCUAAAGCUCGAAGGUGCGGGUAUCGAACAGG